UGAAAAGAAUUUAACCACGCUCAGAACACAUUACUACCCGGGAAUACCCGAUAAGUGUUCGUUCGAACCAGGUCAAGUUCGUCUUGGUGAACAUACUGAUUUUGGAUCUUUUACUAUUUUGUUUCAAGAUAAAGUGGGCGGACUGCAGGUAAGGGCACAGAUGGAGAAUACGUGGAUGCCACUCCUAUACCGGGAACAGCAUAAGUAAACAUAGGAGAUGCUUUGCAGUUUUGGACACAAGGAAGACUCAAAUCAACGAUGCUGAAAUGUGAAAAUGGAGAAACAACAGAAUGAUCAAGAGUACAACAUUGUCAAAUACCACCAAACAGAUGGAACAACAACUCCACAUUCUACCGAGUUGAUUUCGGAUGCACAUUGGAUCAAUCAAAUUCAUUGUAUUAUUGUUCAUAAUUAGGCACUAAAAAAAGUAUAUAUAUAUAUGGAAAAAUAUAGAACGACUGCGAAAUUUAUCCGA